UUUUUAAAUUGCUGUGGUAUUUUGACUAUACAAAGGUAUUGUAAUAAGACUUUAAUUGAGUGCUAAAAGAAUGGAAUUUCAAAAAAAAUCUCUCUUAAAUUUAAAAAUUUAAGUUAUUUUUAUUUGUGAAGAAACAAUAAUAAAAAUUAUAGACAAGAAGACCCUAAGAAUUUUAAUAAAAUAUGAUUAAUAUUAUGAUCAUAUUUUAUUUAAUUGGGGCGAUUAAAAAAUAUAAUGAACUUUUAAACAUCUAAGAUGAUCCAUAAAUUAUGAUUAAAUGAAAAAAAUACUCUAGGGAUAACAGCGUAAUAAUUUUAGAUAGAUCUUAUAGAAAAAAUAGUUUGCGACCUCGAUGUUGGAUUAGGAUACUUUUUUAAUGAAGAAGUUAAAUUAAGAAGUUUGUUCAACUUUUAAAAUCCUACUUGAUCUGUU
rnacentral:rRNA from 1 species